AGGGGGAAGUGGGGAGAGGGGUGGGUGUGGGAAAGACCAUGUGAUAGGUGAGGGGAAGAACAAACCGUGUGAUAUAACAGAAACUAUUCAGUGCAAUAUAGAGUACUACAGUGCAAAUCUCCAAUCACACCGUGCAAAACAACAACUAAAUAAACUAUUUAAUGCAAUACAACACUGUGAUUCCCCUCAAGCCAGCUGCAGUGGCGUCUGGCCAAGAGCCUGGGGUUGUGCCCACAGCUGCAGGUGAGCUGGUCAUCUGCUCAACUUUCCUCCCAGACCCUGUCACUGGGAAACUCUGGGCUGACCCAUGUCUCUCCACCUCCCUGCUGCCUCCAGGACCUGCUCUUGGCCCUGUGCUUCGCCUUAAUUCCAUAAUGUAGCCCUGACUUGUGUGACUUUGUCAUAGGCCCCUGCUCCUGCCCUGGUUUCAGGUCCCACCACAAAAUAGAAAAAAAUUAAUUUAGAAGUGCUGUUCUUCUUUUGUAGAUGUGGAAGAAAUAUUUUGUAGCAGGCCCAGGGCCUGCAAGGCCUCCUUGGAGGUCAGAAGCCUGAGCUAGAAAAUGCCAAGUUAUCUUGACUGGACCCUAGCAGCCCCUCUCUUCCACCUUUCAGACCCUGCUUAUCUCUCUGUAAGCCCAUAGGCCACUUUCCCCUCAUCCUUACUAUUGGACAGUUUCCAAAACCCCUGCAGGGUAUAAAAACCCCUGAUUCUGCCUGGUUCAGCAGAAGAGCUGUCAUUGGGAACCUUCACGGAACACCCGAAUAAAGAAUCCUGCGGAACCUCACACGGCCUUCUCCUCUCUCUCCCUGCGUCUGUGCUGUGGCACCUAGCAAGGAAUAUGAACUCUCAGAUUAUGGAAGCACAUACCUACCAGGAGCUCCUGGAGGAUCCCAUGCUGGAGCAGGUGUAUGUGCCCAAAUGUAUCCCAUAAGAAGCCCAUACUGAAGCAGGCUCUGGGCAGGACCAUACAGAGUGUGAAGUUAGUCGAUUUAUAAGGACUCAGCACACUGAGGCCUCAGACCCCUCCGUUUCCUCUGAAGUAACCAUCUGUACAAGGUCAGGACCUACAAUGCUGUAGAGAAGCAAAGUAAGAACUGCUCACAGAGUGCCAAUUCUGUUUGCUUUGACAAUCUGUGUAAUCCUAAAUUAGAUGCAUGCUUCUGAGUAAUCUACUGUAUGAUAAUAAAGUGUUACAUGCAAAAUACAUCAAAAAUCCUGGCAGAUUUCCCAAGCAGAUUUUGCUAGUUACAGGUUUGCUAUAUGCUGGUCACACUUUCAGUCAUGCGAGUUAUGUACAUAUCAGGUAUUUAAGAUAGCAAAAUUCAUCAGUUUAAGCAAAUAGUCUUCAUUUCAAGAUGCAUGUCUGUAAAGACCAUAAAAAUUCAUAGAGACAGCUCUGACCAUUGUCAAUGCUAGUAACUAUAUGAAUUACAAUAUAUGAAGAAUAUGAAUAUACAAAUACUGAAGUAACUUUCAUGAAAUUUCACACCAGUGAAACAUAUCAGUUUUCUGUGUUCAGUACCUGUAAAAGUGAGAAUGACAGGAAUUUUCUAAUAUUCCUUCAAUGAGGAUUAGCAAUGUUACAUUUCUAUUGUAUUUCUUAGCCAACCAAAGAAAAUAUUCAGAGGGCCAGUAAGCAACCUGAAUUGGUUGAAUUUCUCUGGCUGACUCAAAUAAUUUCUCUGCUUCGCCCAGGCAGCUACCCAGCCAUGGUGGCAGAGUCUUCAGAAAUUAGCAUGUCAUUCCAUUAUUUAUUUAUCUUUAAUAGUGACUAUUGAUUUUCAAGCCUAGUCUCCAGUUCUUGAUGGCUAAUUAGUAAUGUUUAGGAAAGUUUUUUUAAUAUAUUCAAAAUAAGUUUUAUGCCUUUCACAAUGCCCCUGGAGCAGAGAAUGGGAAUAAAAAAAAAGUCAAAAACAAAAAUGGAAGAACACAUUUCUGGCCACAAGAAUGAACAUGUGUAUUCUAUCAUCGUACUGCCCUCAAGCCUCAUUAGCAAGAAAGAAAUCCUCCAUCUUCACUAAACUACCCACUCCAUUAACACAUGAUUUUUUCUCCAUUUUGUUACAAGAAUUAAAAUGAAAAAGUAGAUUUUUAGUUAGUACUUAGAUGUGAGACAGAGACAUUAAAUCUGUUUCUGUAAAGUUACAGAUAUUGCAAGGUUCCCUAAAUAAACAUUAUAAACCAUAGGUGUAAUAUUUAUUUACAGUAGGAUUCACAAUAUAAUCCAGAACACAAAAGCUGUAUGGAGAACCAUAGCAACAGGAAAUUGAUGUCAAAAAUCAAACCGGUGAAAGGCAGAAAUGGUUUAAAGCACUGAUCUCUCUUUCAAAUAGCAAAAAUACUGUAUGUUUUUCUGAGACAAAGAUUCCAAAUUUUGCUUUCUGGAAACUGCUGUUGGGAAGGCUUCCCCAAAGGACUGAGAUAUAAGGAAAUUGCAGUAAUGAUGUCAGGAGCUAGAAUGGACAGUUUUAGGAUGGAAGUCUUAGAGCUGCAAGCAGGCAUAUGUGUCCUUGCAGUUGUCCAGUAAGUCUUCAAUGAAAAAAAGAUAUUCAGCUUGGAUAGAUCAGAAAAAUACAUCUUUCUAACUGUGGAAACAUCUCCCUGUCCAAUGCCCAGAACAGGUGCAAAGCAGCAGUUGCAUAGUUGGCAAUAAUAUAAUGCAAACAACUUUUUGUUAGUUCAGCUCUAUGCAGCAUAAUAAAUUAUAUCAAUUUUACAAUGUUCUAUGCUGAUGUA